rnacentral:tRNA from 1 species
CUAGGUAUAGCUCAGUGGUAGAGUGCACGCUAAGCACAUGCAAAGUCCUGGGUUCAAUCCCCAGUACCUCCA